CAUUAACGAGUUUUGAAAUGGGUUGCAGCUGGCCAUCCUUGUCGGAGGCAUGUGCUCGCCCUGCUCAAUCCACUCUACACCUGUGAACUUACUGUGGGUCUUGGGUGGGCCUUCGUCCUUCCGGGGGCGUCGGCUUUWACCUGGCCUACGUUUUAUUUACAAACACUUUUAAAGUAUCGAGAAUGUCUACUGCGAUAUAACGCAUUUAUAUACAACUUUCAGCAACGGAUCUCUUGGCUCUCGCAUCGAUGAAGAACGCAGCGAAAUGCGAUAAGUAAUGUGAAUUGCAGAAUUCAGUGAAUCAUCGAAUCWUUGAACGCACCUUGCGCUCCUUGGCAUUCCGAGGAGCACGCCUGUUUGAGUGUCGUGAAAUUCUCAACCUACAAAUCUUUUUUGUAGGCUUGGACUUGGAGGCUUUGCCGACGUUUUCUAAUGCCGGCUCCUCUCAAAUGCAUUAGCUUGUGUCCUUGCGGAUCGGCUCUUCGGUGUGAUAAUUGUCUACGCCGUGGUCGUGAAGCGUUUUUGACCGGCUUCUAAUGGUCUCGUUUACGAGACAAGUAUCAUUUUUCAAAUGACAAUCUGACCUCAGAUCAGGCGGGACUACCCGCUGAACUUAAGCAUAUCAAUAAGCCGG
rnacentral:misc_RNA from 1 species